rnacentral:rRNA from 1 species
GACGAACGCUGGCGGCGUGCCUAACACAUGCAAGUCGAGCGGAGAUAAUAGCAAUAUUAUCUUAGCGGCGGACGGGUGAGUAACGCGUGGGCAACCUGCCCAUCACAGGGGGAUAACACAGGGAAACUUGUGCUAAUACCGCAUAACACAUCGAGGUAGCAUUACCUUGCUGUCAAAGGAGCAAUCCGGUGAUAGAUGGGCCCGCGUCCAAUUAGCUAGUUGGUGAUGUAACGGACCACCAAGGCGACGAUUGGUAGCCGAACUGAGAGGUUGAUCGGCCACAGUGGGACUGAGAUACGGCCCAGACUCCUACGGGAGGCAGCAGUGGGGAAUAUUGCACAAUGGGGGAAACCCUGAUGCAGCAACGCCGCGUGAAGGAUGAAGGUUUUCGGAUUGUAAACUUCUUUAGUCAGGGACGAAUAAAUGACGGUACCUGAAGAAUAAGCCACGGCUAACUACGUGCCAGCCGCCGCCGUAA